UGCCAAGGAGGUUUAUUCACUUGAUAUGUCUCUAUGUAUCAUACCAUCCCCCAAGUCUAUGUUACAAGUCGAGUAAAGUCCUAUAGUGAUCCUAACUUGUCUUUUUGAAAAUUAAAGUAAAGAAAUAAGGUAAAGCAUAUGGUAUUUGAUACACAUUGAUUGGAACUAAUCUUGUGAGUGUGAGUGUGUCUUUACUAUUCCUGCAUUGAAAUGCAUUAUUUCAUAUGAGUGAGUGGGUC
rnacentral:lncRNA from 1 species